UCACGUUGUGGGCUGGAAGUCCGAAGGACACAGGUGUCUUGGGGAUUCUCCUCCUGCCUUUCUUUCUUUCUUCAUUCCUCCCCUCCAUCCUCCAGACAUGAUAUAUUGAGGGGCAGUGAUACGUGGGGCGGCGUGGCAGGCACCGAGGAUUUCAGGAGCCUGAGUCAAGUAGAAGGGUCCUUGUGGGGGCUCAGUGCUCAAGAGAGCAGCCCCCUCCCACUAAAACACAUUCGCUCAUGGUUGGAAGAGUUGGACAGAGCCUCAUCUGCCUUAGAGGUCUUUAGGGAGCACCUUUCUCCUUGGUUAGUAUUUGGGAGGAGGCAAGAGAGAGGAAAGUGCACUAAGGAGAGGGCUCCUGGAGCUUACGAUCUAGUUGGGGACAAAUACGUAGCAGUGAAGGCCUGUGAGAAAGACACAGGAACAGUGACCCCAACAAAGUGGGUUGAUCAGGGCCCCAGGGCAGGGCCAGCCAUGGCAAACCAGAGGAAGAAGAUGCUGGGUGGAGGGCAGGGGUCAGAGUGGGGCGGGCCCUGAGACCAGGCAGAGCCUAAAGAGAAGGAGGCUGUCCUGUACUGGGGAGAGGGAUCAGGCGCCAUGGGAACCCACCACGGGGCAGGCUGCCUCCACUCCAACAGCUGAGUAGGGUGACCAACUGUCUCAGAUUGCCCAGGACCUAAAGGUUUCCCUGGACACGGGGCUCUCGGUGCUAAAACCAGGAAAGUCCUGGGCAAAUGGGGAUGAGUUGAUCACCCUCAGGCUGGGUCACUGGGCGAAGCCUCCCAGAGGCUAGAGGAGCUGUAGCUGGGCCCGGAAUGUGGUGCGGGCUGAAGCAGCCCAGGGAAAGGCUGUGGGCGGGGUGACUGCAUCCCUGCCUGGGUUAUUACUACAGGGAAUGGUCUGGCCGGCUAGCCACCCACUACCAGCCUGAGAUGAACUUUUGCUUUCACCGCUGGCUGCACUUGAAACCAAUGACGCAAGCCGAGGCAUGUAAAUAAUGACUUCACAGCCACCUGGCCUGCAUCCCGUGGUUGGGCAAGUCUGGAAGGGGCCUGGGGAUGCAAUGACUGUAAUCUCCACCAUAUGGCCUCCUUCCCUUCCUCACAUGGUCAGAGGUCACUCCUCGUUUCCCCCAGGAGCGUCCUGGGGCCGGAAAGAGGCAGGAGGCAGAUAGGGGCAGAGGUUCGGAAGCCCCAGUAUUAACCGAGUGGCAGCGGCUCCCACUUACUGAGCUCCAAGCUGUGCCUCAGGGACCAGAUGCUUAGAGGCCUCCUCUCAGUUCACCCCUACAACGAUCCUCUAGGGGAGGUGCUUGUGGUAGGGUUUCUUACAUCUGCCGUCACCAAUGACUGCAAAUUUAGUGCUUAAAACAUCAAUUUAGAACCUUACAGUUCUGGAACUAGAAGUCCAGAAUUAUUCUCACUAGGCUAAAGUCAAGGUGUUGGUGGGGCUGGGUCUUUCUGGAGGCUUUCUGGAGCCUUUUCUUUUCUUGUUUCCUUGCCUUUUCUGGCUUGGAGAGGCAGCCCACACCCCCGGGCUUGUGGCCCCUUCCUUGUGAUACUCCAACCUCUGGCUUCCUUUGUCACACUCUGACAGCUCAUUCUGACCCCUGAUCCCUCUCAUGGGGACCUUUGUGAUGACAUUGGGCCCACCUGGAUAAUGCCGGAUGGUCUCCCAUCUCAAGAUCCUGACUUAGUCACAUCUUCAGAGUCCCUUAUGUCAUCUAAGAUGUUCUUUAAGUCCAGGGUUGUAAACACAAUACCUACAGGGCCACACAAAUAAGAUGAGGCUAAACAGCUGCUGUAGAACAACCUGGAGUUUCAGGGAGGCUUCCCUUAACUCACGCUGUGCCACGGCUACUGUACAAAUGGAGGACAACACGCCAUUUGUCAAAACGUUUUAAAGAUAGGAUUCGGCUAAUGAAUUGGCUAUCUGGAUGGACGUGAAGGCUUCCAUCCUAGGAUCCACACAGUUGGCUUACAGAGCAAGAAAAAGGAUGAACAAGGCUUGGGUGAGAGGGCAGAUGAAACUCAGGGCUGUGGCUUCUGUGGUCAGUGUUUACAAUGACCCUGGGCUGCAGAGAGCUCUCUAAGGCUGUGGUGUUAGCGUCCAGCUUCUCAAGACUGAUUGCUGAUUGCUAAUUUCAAUCCCAGGCAUCUAAUUAAUCAACGGAGGAUGGAGUGCCUUGGGUUGUGGGGUCUAGAAGAACUGAAUUUGAAGCCUACCAUGUCACUCACUGGCUGUGUGAUAUUGGACACGUUGCUUAACCUCUCUGAGCUUUAGCUUCCCUAUCUGUAAAAUGUAGAUGAGCAUGUCUAGCUCUCAUGGGAGUUAGGGUCAUUUCUUUUGGUGUGUUCCCCAGAAACAGACCUGAGACCAGGGUUCAAUGCAAGUGAUUUAUUGAGGAAGUGCUUCUGGGAAAUGGGAAUGUUUGCAGGAAGCAAAGCCAGGGUAGCAGUUUCAGGCAGUGUCCUGCUGGGGGCAGCCUCAGUUUGGUCCUGCAGGGAGUUCUGGGGUGUAAGUUGUUAGAGCCCAUUGGAGGCAAAGGGGCUGGGACACCUGUCGUCAGUGCCACCAUGUGGGAGGAGGAAGGGGGCAAACUGCCUGGCCUUCCCCGCUGCUCCCUCUGUGUGGGCAAAGCUGCUGCUCCCAUAGCCAGAGGGCAGCCUGCAGGGGUUUCAGUUAGAGACAGAGGCACACUGCUGCUGGGAGGUGUGCACACCAAAAUGCACCAGCCCUCUGAGGAUAUCUGGGCAGUGCACUGCAGGGCUCCUGUGUGGUCAAAUUUAAAAAUGUAUGUGAAAUGCCUUAGGUUGGAGAAACAACAGAGAUUUAUUUCUUGCAGCUCUAGAGGCUGGAAGUGCAAGAGCAAAGUGCCAACAAGGUUGAGUUCUGGUGCACCCCUUCCAGGUUGCAGAGGGCCAUCUUAUUACAUCCUCACUCAGCAGAAAGGGGGCGAGAGAGCUCUCUGGGGUCCCUUUGAUGAGGGAACUUCCCAUUCAUGUGACUCUACCCUCAUAAUCUAAUCACCUUCAAAAGAUCCCCUCCCACCUCGCCCGUUACAUCCUAAUACCAUCACAUUAGGGGUUAGGAUUUCAACACAGGAAUUUUUUUGGGGGGUGGCGGAAAUAUUCAGUCCACUGCAUGAAGGAUUUCUGCAAACUACGAAGUGGGAUGCAUAAUGUUGGUUAUGGUAGGCUUCCCGGAGCAGCAGUAAUGACGAAGGGCUGUACUGGGGCUGCCCCCCACCCCACUCUACUGGCAUGAAACAAAAAUGAGAAGCGAGUUUGUUUGACACAUUCUAAUUCUUUGGAGGCAGGGUCAGGCUAAUCCUGGGGUCAGGUCCUAGGUGCUGAGCCUCAUUGGUGGUCAGCAUCUGGGGCCAUCAGAAACCAGCAGAUAAGGCCAAAACCAGGGACAACGUGUCGAGCCAGAAAAGCUGAACCUGUGGCUAAGCUCACAGUUCAAACUUCCAGGGACAAAUGGAACUAGGUGAGAGCAGGAAUAGAGUGAGGCAGCAGCCAGGCAGGAGAGCCCAGGAUGGCCGAGAAUGAAUAGGAUGGCGCCCUGGAGCUCCUCAAACUGGGGGUGGCCAUUCCUACGUGGGGUGAAGGUCAGAGUGCACUGAAGUAGUAUUGCCAACACCCUUUCUAUGACAAGGGGCAGAGACUCAACUCAAACUGCUUCAGGUAGACAGGGAAUUGAUCAGCUCACAUAAGGAGAAUCAGAUGUGGCUUGAUCCAGGGGGAUCCAGUUAAACCCAUCAGGAUCCAAUCUCUUUCUUCCUAUCUCUGGGCUCCGCUUCCAGCAGCUUCACUCUCAGCAGCUUCUCUCACAGUGGUGAGAUGGUGGCAGCCAGGACAGGCUCGCAUCUUCCUGGCUUUCUUUCCAGCAGAGAGACAGAGUCCCCCUGCAGACCUCACUUCCCAGUGCUCCCUUACAAAUCCGGGCAUCUAUGCUGCUUGCAUCUGCCUGGUUGUGUAAUCACUGCUGGCCCAGCCACUGGGAUCAGGGGGUUGCAAGGUCGCCACUGCUCAGGCCAGAGCCAUGCACCCACCUUGUACAUAUCAUUGUGGCCAUGGGGCAUUCAGACUACCCAGCCCAGGAGGGAUCAAGUACACAGACAGUGGGUUGUGGCUCCCCAAGAGGAAAUAGCACGCUUUACUGAAAGGAGUGACAGCAGAUGCUGAGAGUCCAAGACCAGCAUGCACCUACCCCAGCAGCCAUGUCUGACUUGUUGAGAUAGGUGCUAGGGUGCUAGGCCCCAGCAGCACCUGCAGGAGCCACACAGGGAGGUGCCUUUCCCACUCACAAGGGUCCAGCGAGGUACAAGGCACCACCUGGGCAUUCCCUGUAGGCAGCAGUCUCCAGCCACUGUCACCCGCAUGCAGACUUUGGCUGGUUAACCAGGUAUCUUCUGAGACUUAGUCUCCGGGGAGAACUGGGUCCUGCAGCCCCAACCAUGAACACGACAUAGGAACUUUGAACCUGGACCAUGAGCACCGUGGGGGCAGCAGCCGGGGGGUAUUCUUGCCUGUCCAGCUCAGAGUAGAGACUCAGUGAAGGAAUGGACAAAUGAAUGAGUGAGUGAAUGAAUGAAUGAAUGAAUGAAUGAUGCUAUUUCCAAAAGCACUUCCGGGACAAGACAACACUCUGUAAGACCUGAGUACAAAACUCUGUCUAUCCAGAAGCUUGGGGUGGCCAGGCAGGUUGUCAGGUCACCUCUCUGAACUGUCACCCUACCCUGAGCCACUGGCACCACCUCUCCCCUGGAGAUAGGAAUGCGUUGAUCAUCCUCUCCAAAACCGCAUGCCCCUCCUGCUCCAGCCCCACAUUUACCUUCUGUUUCCCCCAACACCUGUCUCUAUUCCGCAGCGCAUUCUUUCACUUUCUUUCUUUUGGUUUUUCAGAAAGUAAGGCUUGAUCUUUAUUUCUUAAUUGGCUUCUUGUCUACCUUCCCUUUGCCAUCAGAAGGAGGGGGCUUUGUUUUGUUCACUUUACACCCUGAGUGUCUAGAACAGCGCCUGGCCCGUGGCAGGUGCUCAGUCAUUGCUUAUUGAAUGAACAAGUCAAGGAACUUCAGUUUUGUUUUCUAAAAACUGGAGGCUUGUCUCCCUGGCGUUCUAGCCUGAAGUGCUAGCCUGGUUAGGUGGCCCUCCUCACCCCUGCCCAUUUCAGCUUCUCACUGUCAUGCAGUUAUAACCCAUUGUCUUCAUCUGAUCGUUUGCCUCCCCACCCCACCCCCCACACAAGACAGAGAGUAGGUGCCCUGGCUGGUUGUGCUUGGGGCGUGGGAGGGGCCGACACAAGUCACGUGUUCAGAGGAUGGAAAGCUGGAAUGGAAAGUUCUCACAAACCCUAAGGGCAGCACGGCUCAAAUGCUGGUUGCUGUGGUAGUUAAUAUUAUUUGUGUUGCUUGCGGAAGAGGCCUCAGCAGCUGGCUCUCAUCAAUAUUAAUUGUUGGACCAUCUCUCCUGCCUGGUAUGGCCAGCACCCUGCGGAGCCUGAGCCGCUGGAAGUCAAAUGGAAAAUCCCCAGCGAGGGCAAGCUUUGGAGACCAUGGGUAUCAGGCAACUAAAUAAACAGGCAGCCUUGCCAGAAUCACUAAGGAGCCCAUCUUGGCCUUAGAAACCUGUCCCUCCCCUUUCUCUCCCCCUCCUCCACCCCUAAAGGCUCAGGAAGCUCUGGGGAGCGGAUGCAGGGCUUGGCCAUUCCGGCAGGCACUGAAGGGAGGCUGCGGUGUUCAUCCCCGCCCCCCUCAUUAGUUCAUUUAUGGAAAGUCUGACGCUGCCAUCCCUGGGCUGGGCACUGGGGAGGACACAGGGGUGAGCCAGAGGAGGCAUUAGCCUUCCACGGGUACACAGCUAAUGGGGGGCCAACUCAUCCCCAGGAGAGAGGAACACCCACAGCGUAACUGGCUCCUGGGCAGAAGUGAAGAGCUGUGGUUGUUUGAACCUUUAUUUCUUUACAGGCCCCACAUUACAGAUGGGCAUUCUGUUCCAGGAAAUCUUCCCAUACCCUUACAAUACCAGGGUUGACUAGGAACAGGCACAUUGCAUGAGAAUGUAUGUGUUUACAAUCCUGACUGGUAAAACCAAAAAUUCAAUUAAAUGUUAGCAGGGAGGGUGGGGCAGGAACCAAGCGACAUGUUGUGGCCUGGGCUGGACUGGCUGUAGCUUCUUGAGACGUAAAUUCAGCAGCAUUGGACCGGGGAUGCCUCCUUUUCUUGAAAAACCUUGCUGCUAGCCAUUUUUGCUAUUUCAGAAUGAUGCUUAUCAGUCUUGAGAACGCAGUCCUUUGGGCCAUGUGAAAGCCUCUGCCAUCUUUGCAAGGCACACGACUGGGAGGGAGACCCUAGCCUAUCAGCGAUGGGUGCAGGGCGGAGGUGCCAUCCAGUGAGCUAGGGAAGAUGCCAGAGGGGCAGGUUCGAGGGGAAAAAUCAAGAGCCCUUUCCCAGUUCUCUUGCUGCCUCCCUGCUCCAGAAACUGCAGCACUCUCUACUUGAGAACCAGCCCUGCUUCCCUAUGGCCAAUGGUGGCCUAUGGCCCACCAUGGCGCCCACCCUGACAUUCAAGGCCCCUUCCCGCUGGCUGUAUCCCUUCAUCCUCAGCAGCCUCAGCUCCACUGCUGCCUUGACCUUCAUCCAGCCUGGCCUUCUAGCCCGACCCCCAUGCACCCUCUGCUGUGCACCUGCUUCUGCAGAUUCCAUGCCAAGUUAAGUCUUGCCUCCUCUAGGCAGCCCUCAGUGAUCUCUUUAGUUGCUGCCUACAAAGUCCAUGCACCUCUUGACAUUAUGGAACACCUUCUUGCUCUAAUCCCUCCCUUGACUCAGUUAUCUGUUGGGCUGUUGGCAGGCUGGGAAUGGCCAGGCUGUAGUCUCUCCUCAUCCAGCAGGCUAACCUUGCUUGCAUUCUCAGGGUUCCAAAGCCAGAACCAAAAAGAAGCUUCUUAAGGCCUAAGCCCAGGACUGACCCAGAAUCAGGUUUCAGUCCUGGUUCACCAGUUACAUGGCCUUGGGCAAGAAACCUCUGCAUGCCUCAGACUCCUCAUUUGUAAAAUGAGGAUUAAGCGAGUUAACAUGUGUGGAAAGAGCUCAGAGCUACACCAAACAUCUCAUAAGUGCUAUACAAAUGUUUGUUACUGUCAGUGAACUAAUAAAGAAAAUGAUAUGGUCCAUGUUCCUCGUAGUGUUGAAAUGUACUGGGCUGGUCAUUCAGGUAUCAUUCACUCAUUCACAGAAUAGCGGGUGUUUGCUAGGAGCCAGGCACUAUGCUGGGUGGUGGGGAUAACGUGUUGAAUAAGAUAAACUUUGCUCUUAGAUGACUCAGAUAGUUGGGAAAAUUGAAUGUAGCUUUGCGAUUCGAUUUGCUACAGGUGUGAUGAUGGAGUGGGAUCAGGAGGGGAUAGGGAACAGGGGACCUGUCCUGCCCCAGUGGGGCAGGAAAAGCAUCAGAAUGAAGGUGACACUGGGGCUGAGCCUUUUAAAGCUGAGUAGAUUGUCUACUUUAUAUAAAGCACAGAUGAGAACCAGACACAGAGCUGUUCAUGUUUUCUUCUUUUCUCUCUUCAAUUAUCAUAAUAGAAAACGACAACAGCAACAAUGCUAACAAAGUGAGAAGAUUUCACAGAUACAUUUUUACAUCUUUUAAGGUUAGAUAUUUUUAAUCAAAAGAGCACAUCGAAAUCCUACAUUAAGAAAGAGUCUUCACUGUAGAAAAGUGAGUGAUCGCAUGGUGAAACCAGGUGCUUGGGUAGCAAAGGUCCAAGAAUAGUUAAAAUACCUUUUAUGAAGUCAAUUGCUUACAUUUACAAGUUGAUCAUGAAAACAUCAGUAAGACACAGAAACAUUUCCGAUGCUCUCGGCACGAAGAACUGGUAUCCGGAGAGCAGCAAGUUACAAUAAUAAGGUUUCUGCAAAAGAUUAAAUAGUAUAAAGAAUAUUAGUAUGCCUUCAACUGGCGGAAAUAGGACUGAGCACGUGGAAAAAGGUCAGAAAUAAGAUGCAGAUUUGCUCAAAGGUUGCUACCCAGCACUCCCACGCCCAUCCCAUUCCUAAGCUCUUCCCCAAGCAUGCGCCUCAGAGGCACUGGUGAGGGGCCAGGUCCCUGGAGAUCCCAGAGACACAAAGUUAGGGGUGGGGAAAAAUCCAGCCCCACACUCCCAUCCACUUUGUAGGGUUUUCUGCCUUCAGUCUGGGGGUCCCCACAAAUGCCCAAGAUGGUGGAAACAGUCACAUGGAUUUCUAAGAGACCCAUAUGACAUGCUGGGAGUUCCAGAUCACUGUCCUCCGCUGGCAUUAUUUGAACUCAUGGCAGUGACCAUGAUCACUGCUGCUGCUCAGAAGAGCUUUGAUU